CCCUUAGAUGUCCUGGGCCGCACGCGCGCCACACUGACAUGUUCAACAAGCCUCCUAGUUCGACAGGAUUUGGGAAAUCUUUGAACGCAUGUCGUGAUAGGGAUAGAUCAUUGCAAUUAUUGAUCUUGAACGAGGAAUUCCUAGUAAACGCGAGUCAUCAGCUCGCAUUGAUUACGUCCCUACCCUUUGUACACACCGCCCGUCGCACCUACCGAUUGAAUGUUUCGGUGAAGAUUCCGGAUAGGACUUUUUUGAUUUAUUUCAAUUCUGUCUUAAAAGCUAUCUAAACCUCAACAUUUAGAGGAAGAUGAAGCCGUAACA
rnacentral:rRNA from 1 species